UUACGGCCGUAUCACGUUGAAACAUCGGUUCCCGUACGAUCACCGAAUUUAGGCAGCGUCAAGCCUGUUUAGUACCCAGAUGGGUGACCACUUAGGAUUACCAAGUGU